GGGUUGUGAGGUUAAGCGACUAAGCGUACACGGUGGAUGCCCUGGCAGUCAGAGGCGAUGAAGGGCGUGCUAAUCUGCGAUAAGCGCCGGUAAGGUGAUAUGAACCGUUAUAACCGGCGAUACCCGAAUGGGGAAACCCAGUGUGAUUCGUCACACUAUCAUUAACUGAAUCCAUAGGUUAAUGAGGCGAACCGGGGGAACUGAAACAUCUAAGUACCCCGAGGAAAAGAAAUCAACCGAGAUUCCCCCAGUAGCGGCGAGCGAACGGGGAGGAGCCCAGAGCCUGAAUCAGCAUGUGUGUUAGUGGAAACGUCUGGAAAGGCGCGCGAUACAGGGUGACAGCCCCGUACACAAAAGCGCAUGUGCUGUGAGCUCGAUGAGUAGGGCGGGACACGUGGUAUCCUGUCUGAAUAUGGGGGGACCAUCCUCCAAGGCUAAAUACUCCUGACUGACCGAUAGUGAACCAGUACCGUGAGGGAAAGGCGAAAAGAACCCCGGCGAGGGGAGUGAAAAAGAACCUGAAACCGUGUACGUACAAGCAGUGGGAGCACAGGUUUACCUGUGUGACUGCGUACCUUUUGUAUAAUGGGUCAGCGACUUAUAUUCUGUAGCAAGGUUAACCGAAUAGGGGAGCCGGAGGGAAACCGAGUCUUAACCGGGCGUUAAGUUGCAGGGUAUAGACCCGAAACCCGGUGAUCUAGCCAUGGGCAGGUUGAAGGUUGGGUAACACUAACUGGAGGACCGAACCGACUAAUGUUGAAAAAUUAGCGGAUGACCUGUGGCUGGGGGUGAAAGGCCAAUCAAACCGGGAGAUAGCUGGUUCUCCCCGAAAGCUAUUUAGGUAGCGCCUCGUGAAUUCAUCUCCGGGGGUAGAGCACUGUUUCGGCUAGGGGGUCAUCCCGACUUACCAACCCGAUGCAAACUGCGAAUACCGGAGAAUGUUAUCACGGGAGACACACGGCGGGUGCUAACGUCCGUCGUGAAGAGGGAAACAACCCAGACCGCCAGCUAAGGUCCCAAAGUCAUGGUUAAGUGGGAAACGAUGUGGGAAGGCCCAGACAGCCAGGAUGUUGGCUUAGAAGCAGCCAUCAUUUAAAGAAAGCGUAAUAGCUCACUGGUCGAGUCGGCCUGCGCGGAAGAUGUAACGGGGCUAAACCAUGCACCGAAGCUGCGGCAGCGACGCUGAUGCGUUGUUGGGUAGGGGAGCGUUCUGUAAGCCUGCGAAGGUGGCCUGUGAGGGUUGCUGGAGGUAUCAGAAGUGCGAAUGCUGACAUAAGUAACGAUAAAGCGGGUGAAAAGCCCGCUCGCCGGAAGACCAAGGGUUCCUGUCCAACGUUAAUCGGGGCAGGGUGAGUCGACCCCUAAGGCGAGGCCGAAAGGCGUAGUCGAUGGGAAACGGGUUAAUAUUCCCGUACUUGGUGUUACUGCGAAGGGGGGACGGAGAAGGCUAUGUUGGCCGGGCGACGGUUGUCCCGGUUUAAGCGUGUAGGCUGGUUUUCCAGGCAAAUCCG
rnacentral:rRNA from 1 species